rnacentral:rRNA from 1 species
GACGAACGCUGGCGGCGUGCUUAACACAUGCAAGUCGAACGGUGAAGGGACCAGCUUGCUGGUUCUGGAUGAGUGGCGAACGGGUGAGUAACACGUGAGUCACCUGCCCCCUUCUUCUGGAUAACCGCAUGAAAGUGUGGCUAAUACGGGAUAUUCUGGGUCUGUCGCAUGGCGGGCCCGGGAAAGAUAUUGCUUCGGUGGGGGAUGGGCUCGCGGCCUAUCAGCUUGUUGGUGGGGUGAUGGCCUACCAAGGCGGUGACGGGUAGCCGGCCUGAGAGGGUGGGCGGUCACACGGGGACUGAGACACGGCCCAGACUGCUACGGGAGGCAGCAGUGGGGAAUAUUGCACAAUGGGCGCAAGCCUGAUGCAGCGACGCCGCGUGAGGGAUGGAGGCCUUCGGGGUGUAAACCUCUUUCGCCAGUGAAGCAGGCCCGCUCCUUGUGGGUGGGUUGACGGUAGCUGGAUAAGAAGCGCCGGCUAACUACGUG